AUAAGCGGAGGAAAAGAAACCAACAGGGAUUGCCCUAGUAACGGCGAGUGAAGCGGCAACAGCUCAAAUUUGAAAUCUGGCUCUUUCAGAGUCCGAGUUGUAAUUUGCAGAGGGCGCUUUGGCUUUGGCAGCGGUCCAAGUUCCUUGGAACAGGACGUCACAGAGGGUGAGAAUCCCGUACGUGGUCGCUAGCUAUUGCCGUGUAAAGCCCCUUCGACGAGUCGAGUUGUUUGGGAAUGCAGCUCUAAAUGGGAGGUAAAUUUCUUCUAAAGCUAAAUAUUGGCCAGAGACCGAUAGCGCACAAGUAGAGUGAUCGAAAGAUGAAAAGCACUUUGGAAAGAGAGUCAAACAGCACGUGAAAUUGUUGAAAGGGAAGCGCUUGCAGCCAGACUUGCUUGCAGUUGCUCAUCCGGGCUUUUGCCCGGUGCACUCUUCUGCAGGCAGGCCAGCAUCAGUUUGGGCGGUGGGAUAAAGGUCUCUGUCACGUACCUCUCUUCGGGGAGGCCUUAUAGGGGAGGCGACAUACCACCAGCCUGGACUGAGGUCCGCGCAUCUGCUAGGAUGCUGGCGUAAUGGCUGUAAGCGGCCCGUCUUGAAACACGGACCAAGGAGUCUAACAUCUAUG
rnacentral:rRNA from 2 species